UACGUAGGGGUGCGAGCGUUUGUCCGGAAUUACUGGGCGUAAAGAGCUCGUAGGUGGUUUGUCGCGUUGUUCGUGAAAACUCACAGCUCAACUGUGGGCGUGCGGGCGAUACGGGCAGACUGGAGUACUGCAGGGGGAGACUGGAAUUCCUGGUGUAGCGGUGGAAUGCGCAGAUAUCAGGAGGAACACCGGUGGCGAAGGCGGGUCUCUGGGCAGUAACUGACUGGGGGAG
rnacentral:rRNA from 1 species